CUGCCAAAUCAAAGGUGGUAAUCAUCUUCAUCUCUGAAACUUGAUGCACCUCCAUUUCACAUGUGUAAAUCCUUAAGAACUUGGUGAUAUUCCUUCCAUCAAACCUCCCAACUUUGUCCACUACUACUUGUUUCUAUCCUUUCUAUGCACUUGUUGCCUUUCUUCCAUAAAUUGAGCAAAUGCCCUGAAUAAAUCAUGGGCACCCACUCCUCCUGAUAAUCCAAACCCCUGGAUUUUGAUCCCCCAUUUCAACUUGUUGAAAAAUCAGUGCCUUAAGGCUCUCUCAAUGGAAGCACCAAUAUGUCGGAGUAGAGAGAGUUUGCCUCAAGAAAACACUGGGCUUCUGGUUGUCACUAAUUAUUCAAUCAAGCUU
rnacentral:lncRNA from 1 species